rnacentral:rRNA from 1 species
UGCCAGCCGCCGCGGUAAUACAGAGAUGGCAACCGUUGUUCGGAAUUACUGGGCUUAAAGCGUACGUAGGCGGAAAGAUAAGUUGGAUGUGAAAUAUCAUAGCUCACCUAUGGUGCUGCAUUCAAAACUGUCUAUCUUGAGUGCGGAAGGGGAGAGUGGAACUCCUAGUGGAGCGGUGAAAUGUGUUGAUAUUAGGAGGAACGUCGGUGGCGAAAGCGACUCUCUGGUCCGAAACUGACGCUGAGGUACGAAAGCUAGGGGAGCAAACGGGAUUAGAUA